rnacentral:ncRNA from 1 species
AACAGGGAGCUUGUAUGGCAGGCUGAGAGGAAGUAAUCAAACUUCGACCUUUUGAACCUGAUUUGGGUAAUGCCAACGUAGGGAGAGAUACGAU